AACAUUAGCUUUCCUCACCACCUACCUCCAUCGUGAAGGGAAGGAAGGCUCUGGGCACCAGCGGGCCUCCCAUCUGGGCCCGCAUUUUCGAACCGCCCCCGAGGUGGCUUUGAAGCAAGGAACCCCGACUUUAAGCGGCCAGGUGUUGAAGCCUGACAGAUGCAGACCGAUGCGAUCCGCGGCGCCCUCUACUGGUCACCAAUAGAAAUGUAUCUCUACAGCCUCUUGGGGAAGCUUUGCAAGUAAUUGGGUCAUGGAAAGAAAGACUGGAAUAGAAACCCUGACUAAGACAGCCUGUGAGUUUUCUAUCAUCUGCUGUGACUGUUCUGUGAUCUUCC
ensembl:antisense Gm26973 predicted gene, 26973